rnacentral:rRNA from 1 species
UGCCUUACCAUGCAAGUCGAACGGCAGCACGGGAGCAAUCCUGGUGGCGAGUGGCGAACGGGUGAGUAAUAUAUCGGAACGUGCCCAGUCGUGGGGGAUAACGUAAAGAAAUUUACGCUAAUACCGCAUACAAUCUAAGGAUGAAAGCGGGGGACCGUAAGGCCUCGCGCGAUUGGAGCGGCUGAUAUCAAAUUAUCUUGUUGGUGAGGUAAAAGCUCACCAAGGCGACUAUCUGUAUCUGGUUUGAGAGAACGACCACCCACACUGGGACUGAGACACGGCCCACACUCCUACGGGAGGCAGCAGUGGGGAAUUUUGGACAAUGGGCGAAAGCCUGAUCCACCAAUGCCGCGUGCAGGAAAAAGGCCUUCGGGUUGUAAACUGCUUUUGUACGGAACGAAAAGGUCUGCCCUAAUACGGCGGGCCCAUGACGGUACCGUAAGAAUAAGCACCGGCUAACUACGUGCCACCACCCGCGGUAAUACGUAGGGUGCGAGCGUUAAUCGGAAUUACUGGGCGUAAAGCGUGCGCAGGCGGUGAUGUAAGACAGUUGUGAAAUCCCCGGGCUCACCCUGGGAAUUGCAUCUGUGACUGCAUCGC